GUGCCAGCAGCUGCGGUAAUACGGAGGGUGCAAGCGUUAAUCGGAAUUACUGGGCGUAAAGCGCACGCAGGCGGUCUGUCAAGUCGGAUGUGAAAUCCCCGGGCUCAACCUGGGAACUGCAUUCGAAACUGGCAGGCUAGAGUCUUGUAGAGGGGGGUAGAAUUCCAGGUGUAGCGGUGAAAUGCGUAGAGAUCUGGAGGAAUACCGGUGGCGAAGGCGGCCCCCUGGACAAAGACUGACGCUCAGGUGCGAAAGCGUGGGGAGCAAACAGGAUUAGAUACCCUGGUAGUCCACGCCGUAAACGAUGUCGACUUGGAGGUUGUGCCCUUGAGGCGUGGCUUCCGGAGCUAACGCGUUAAGUCGACCGCCUGGGGAGUACGGCCGCAAGGUUAAACUCAAAUGAAUUGACGGGGCCGCACAAGCGGUGGAGCAUGUGGUUUAAUUCGAUGCAACGCGAAGAACCUUACCUACUCUUGACAUCCAGAGAACUUAGCAGAGAUGCUUUGGU
rnacentral:rRNA from 1 species